CGCAGAGCACAGGGGCAUGUGCCCCUGUAAUGCGACCGAUGGCGGUUGCAAGUCCGC
rnacentral:ribozyme from 1 species